ACGACGGACAUCUGGCGGAGGAACACGUUCGCUCCUCUUCUACACGGAAUGUAGAAAAGGGCGAGAGCUCCUGUGUCGGUGCCCCACAAUGGAACAGUGCUGAAUGACGCGGUGGAUUUGGUGAAAUGCAUGCGGAAAAAAGAAAUCUUCAAUAGUCAACUCUUCGCUAUUUCGCUCACCUUGAAAGGUCGCUGGUACACACCCAAACUGGAUGAUGAAGACUAUGCUGGUUGGGGCGAGUACUCUGUGUUCAAACCGUGCAAGCGCUUCGAAGGAUACGGGAUUCCCCAACUGGUUUGCAACGAAUCAGAUUCGGCAUACUUGAAACACAUGGAGACACAGAUGGCUGACUUACAUGCGGCUACAUACGAUAAGUCUCGAGGGAGAAAGAAAACGUUCGUUUUUGAUACUUGGGUGACCCUAAAUUAUAGGUUCUGUGCCGAGAAGUACCACCACGCCACAUAUGACCACACCAUCGCUGGUUAUGACGUCAACUACGAUUACGCUCCUAGCAAUUGCGAGCCCAGGAUGCCUCGUUCGUACACUCGCACCAUUAUCAUUAGCUACAUCGCCCAACAUAUCAAGUUUUCUACCGAAGGGCCGUAUAAAUGCGCCAGUUUUCGUUGGGCUCAACAGAAUUAAUCUUUAUGCUCAAGAAUAGUUUGUCAUUAAAGCUUACGUUCUGGGACAUGUAAUAUUCAGGA